AGCUAAGUAGCUUAACAUUUAACAGAAACCCUGCCUGACAUAUUAUGUAAAUCACAUUUCCUUUUCAUGAUUAGGUAGCCUGCGUUUUUGCUCUGGAAAAGAAAAGAAAAUGAAAUCCUAUACAGUUUGUAUCAUGUUUCCAUGAUGCUAGGCUGUACUGCAUUCCCUGGUUCAGAAACAAAUCCUUUUUGAGUCACGGUCAGCUGAGAGCAGGCUGCCCUCCAGAACCCCGAAUUGCACACAUCGGAGCGGCAGCCCGGGCUCCGUCAGGUCGCUGCAUGUCGAGUCGGAGCCGCGCCGGUGGUUUCCUCCUUACCUUUCAGCUGCUCCGUAUCCGUAACGUCGCACUGGAUGAACACCGUCCUCUGCGCUUCGAACUGCUCGUCCAGGGCCGCCUUGCUCUGCUGCCCGGCCUCGGGGUUGCGGUCCAGGAGCGCUACCUACCCGGGAACGGAGGGACAGAGGGAGAGGCUGAGCGGGGCCGCGCCGAGGCGGGGGCUGCCGGCGCCCGGAGAGAGGGAAGCGGCGGCUCAGGGCUUGCUUACCUUGGCUCCCUUGCCCAGCAGCGCCUGGACGAAGGCUCGGCCGAUGCCCUGAGCCCCGCCGGUGACCAGAGCCACCUUGCCAUUGACGUGCAUGGCGCUGCCCGCCCGCGAGGCGCAGAGGAGCCGUCUCCCGCCUAGCCGGAGGAACCGAGCGCGGUGUCACCUGCCCCAAGUUUCCUCCCUCCGUCGCUCCCUCCCUCCUGCCCUCCCUCCUUCCCUCUUCCUCCUCCUCCUCCAGCCGGUGCAGCCGCGACUCAUUCCCCCCCGCGCCCCUCGCGUCCGACCCAGCGCCGAGAGCUGCCCGCGGCGGGGGGGAGGAACGGAGGUGGGGCGGGUCGUGCCCCUCUCACGCCUUCUCCGAGUGCCUGCGUGAACCCCGGGGUCGAAGGCCGGCGAGCAGAGCGGCUACCCUGGAGGGCCUCGGGUGGGGGUCCCGGCAGCCGCCUCGGGAGCGACACGGUACGGAUCGGGCUUCGCGGAGGGCUGCUGGCGGCUCCGGGCCGUGCGCGCUUUGCUUGGCCCGAGCUGCGUGAGCGGCGGGGGAAAGCAAGCUCUCUCUCGGAGAAAACAAACACAGAGCCUCUUCUCACCCCGCGGGUCGGCCCAUCGGUGCUCUCCCCUCAGCCAGCAGGGAGACUUGAAGGAAAACGCAGUGACUAAACGCUAAGAACGUAUCGGGAUAACUGCCUUCUAGACAUGGUCAGGUCUGCAGCUUGUGCUUUAAAAAAAUGUUUAACUUCUUGUACAGCUGGGAAACCAGAUCCUGCUAUAACACAAGUUGUAUCUGAUUAAAAACAAAUCUAUUAAUGCCAAGUAACAUGUGUCAGUGUACAUUACAAACAAGAGAAACCUUAGCAAUCUAAUAGCUGAAAUCAAGUUUCUUGCUCGUUGGUAUUUUACUGGAGGUUCGUGAACAUUAUCCAGCAGAAAGCACAGUACGAUGUAGUGUUGGGUGGAUGGGGAAAAUCCAUCAUUCUUGAGCUCCAUAAACGUACAUAUGCUGUGUGUGCAGGGGUGCGUAUUAAGACUCGCUUUUCUUUCGGGAUCUGUUUUCUUUUGCAUGGUGUACCAGGUGUGAACUUUCCGCUUGUGUUUUCAAGGCCCUCAAGUACUCUGACUCAGACUUCAUCUCUCCCAUUACCGUCUGCGCAGACUGCCCUUACCUCCCAGUGACAGUAUAGUUAUUUUGUUUCUCCUCCCAGGUGACUGUUUUCUACUUUGCAGCCUUCAUAAUGGGAUGCCCUUCUUUCAUUUUUUUACCUAGAAGAAACAAAUUAUAUUACUCCUAAAACCAGCAAACUGUUACAGAACCAUUAAGGUAACGAUGUUACCUAAUUGAGUAAAUUGAGUAACACAAGAACUUGUUAUUAUAACCUUUGUCCUUAAGAAUGUGAACUAAUGUAAUCCAGCUGCUAAAUUGGACAGCAGCCAUUUAAUUUUCCUGAAGAUCAUGAUUCACGGUGCUUCACAAAAGCAGUCAGAGCUGGCCUCUGGGAUUAGUGAUUUUCUUGACUGCGAUACUUGUAUUUCUGGGAGGACACCAGAUUGCAUUGUGCCACCUAAACUGCCCUGCCUCACGAGGUCUUUCCCAACCAGCUGAGCCAGCUUCCCUAAUUUGCUGAGAGGCGAGGACAGUUCCUGGUCAAAGGCACAUCGAAAGAACAGUGUUACCACAUAGGGACUUAAUAGCACAGUAGUGGAGUCUAUCACCCUGAAGACAACCCUGACAGCUUCCCCCCCCAUCUUCAAC
rnacentral:lncRNA from 1 species